rnacentral:rRNA from 1 species
CGCGGGAUUACGGGGGGACGGGGCGCAGCAGGCGCGAAACCUCCUCAAUGCACUAACGUGCGAAGGGGUUACCUCGAGUGCCACCUGAAGAAGGUGGCUUUUCCUUGGUCUAAAAAGCCUCGGGAAUAAGAGGGGGGCAAGACUGGUGUCAGCCGCCGCGGUAACACCAGCCCCUCGAGUGGUGGGGAUGAUUAUUUGGCCUAAAGCGUCCGUAGCCGGCCGGGAAAGUCUCCCGUUAAAUCCAACGUCUCAAGCGUUGGACUGCGGGAGAUACUGCCUGGCUAGAGAGUGGGAGAGGUCAGCGGUAUUCUGGGGGUAGGGGCGAAAUCCUUUGAUCCCCGGAGGACCACCAGUGGCGAAGGCUGCUGACUACAACACGUCUGACGGUCAGGGACGAAAGCUGGGGUAGCAAACCGGAUUAUAUACCCGGGUAGUCCCAGCCGUAAACGAUGCAUGCUAGGUGUUGGGUUGGCCACGAGCCACCCCAGUGCCGCAGGGAAGCCGUUAAGCAUGCCGCCUGGGAAGUACGAUCGCAAGAUUGAAACUUAAAGGAAUUGGCGGGGGAGCACCACCAGGCGUGAAGCCUGCGGUUUAAUUGGAGUCAACGCCGGGAACCUUACCGGAAGCGACAGCAGAGUGAAGGCCAGAUUGAAGAUCUUGCCAGACGAGCUGAGAGGAGGUGCAUGGCCGUCGCCAGUUCGUGCCGUGAGGUGUUCUCUUAAGUGAGAUAACGAACGAGACCCGCGCCGCAUGUUGCCAUCAGAAUCUAAAGGAUUGCUGGGCACUCUUGUGGGACCGCAGCCGAUAAGGCUGAGGAAGGGGCGGGCAACGGCAGGUCAGUAUGCCCCGAAUCUUCCGGGCCACACGCGGGCUGCAAUGGUAUGGACAGAGGGCUGCCACCCCGAGAGGGGGAGCCAAUCCCUAAACCAUACCUCAGUUGGGAUUGAGGGCUGCAACCCGCCCUCAUGAACAUGGAAUGCCUAGUAACUGCCAGUCAUCAUCUGGCGGUGAAUACGUCCCUGCUCCUUGCACGAAUUCGCCGAAUCACUAGU